GCUGCUAUUGGGAUUCGACUAAGCCAUGCAAAGUCCAGGCUCCGCAAGGAACCGGCCAGAAUGCUCAGUAACACGUCGACAACCUGCCCUAUGCUCUGGGAUAACCUUGGGAAACUGAGGAUAAUACCGGAUAGAGGUUGAUAUCUGCAAUGAUACUUCCUUGAAACGAUUACGGCAUAGGAUGGGUCGGCGGCCGAUUAGGCUGUUGGCGGGGUAACGGCCCACCAAACCGAAGAUCGGUACGGGCCAUGAGAGUGGUAGCCCGGAGAGGGACCCUGAGAUACUGGUCCUAGACCCUACGGGGUGCAGCAGGCGCGAAACCUUUACAAUGCACGAAAGUGUGAUAAGGGGAUCCCAAGUGCUCAUGCUUUGCAUGGGCUUUUGCCAAGAGCAAAAACCUUGGCGAAUAAGUGGUGGGUAAGACUGGUGCCAGACCGCCGCGGUAACACCAGCGCCACGAGUGGGAACUCAAUUUUAUUGGGCCUAAAGCGUCCGUAGACCGGCCGAGGUAAAAUCUCUUGUGAACAUCGUUGCGCUUAACGUAACGACGUGCAGCAGAGAAACUGCUUUGGC
rnacentral:rRNA from 1 species